CAGCCGUAAACAAUGUGCGUUAGGUGUGUCGGUAACCACGUGUUACUGAUGCGCCGAAGAGAAAUCGUGAAACGCACCACCUGGGAAGUACGGUCGCAAGGCUGAAACUUAAAGGAAUUGGCGGGGGAGCACCACAACAGGUGGAGCCUGCGGUUUAAUUGGAUUCAACGCCGGACAUCUCACCGGAUAAGACAGCUGAAUGAUGGCCAGGUUGAUGACCUUGCUUGACAAGCUGAGAGGAGGUGCAUGGCGUGUGACUGU
rnacentral:rRNA from 1 species